GCGGCAAUGGUGGAAUUGGUAGACACGCCAGCUUGAGGUGCUGGUACUGAGAGGUAUGGAAGUUCAAGUCUUCUUUGCCGCA
rnacentral:tRNA from 1 species